rnacentral:rRNA from 1 species
GAUGAACGCUGGCGGCGUGCCUAAUACAUGCAAGUCGAGCGAACAGACGAGGGGCUUGCUCCACUGACGUUAGCGGCGGACGGGGGAGUAACACGUGGAAAACCUACCUUUAGGCCGGGGAUAACUUGGGGAACCGGGAGCUAAUACCGGAUAAUAUAUUUAACCGCAUGGUUCAAUAUUGAAAGACGGUUUUGCUUUCAUUUAUGGAGGGUCCGCGCCGCAUUAGCUAGUUGGUAAGGUAACGGCUUACCAAGGCAACGAUGCGUAGCCGACCUGAGAGGGUGAUCGGCCACACUGGAACUGAGACACGGUCCAGACUCCUACGGGAGGCAGCAGUAGGGAAUCUUCCGCAAUGGGCGAAAGCCUGACGGAGCAACGCCGCGUGAGUGAUGAAGGUCUUCGGAUCGUAAAACUCUGUUAUUAGGGAAGAACAAAUGUGUAAGUAACUAUGCACGUCUUGACGGUACCUAAUCAGAAAGCCACGGCUAACUACGUG